rnacentral:pre_miRNA from 1 species
AGUGGGAUAACUGGGUCAAAUGGUAGGUCCAUUCCAAAUUUUCUGAGGAAUCUCCAUACUGCUUUCCACAGUGGUUGUACCAGUUUGCAGUCCCACUAGCAGU